AUUGAACGCUGGCGGCAGGCCUAACACAUGCAAGUCGAGCGGAGCGGCGGACGGGUGAGUAAUGCCUAGGAAUCUGCCUGGUAGUUGGGGAUAACGUCCGGAAAAGGGCGCUCAUACCGCAUACUAUCAGAUGAGCCUAUGUCGGAUUAGCUAGUUGGUGGGGUAAAGGACUACAACGGAGACGAUCCGUAACUGGUCUGAGAGGAUGAUCAGGCACACUGGAACUGAGACACGGUCCAGACUCCUACGUGAGGCAGCAGGGGGGAAUAUUGGACAAUGGGCGAAAGACUUAUACAGCCAUGCCGAGGGUGUGAAUAAGGUCUUCGGAUUGUAAAGCACUGUAAGUUGGGAGGCGUUACCAACAGAAUAAGCACCGGCUAACUUCGUGCCAGCAGCCGCGGUAAUAC
rnacentral:rRNA from 1 species